rnacentral:rRNA from 1 species
CGUACUCCCCAGGCGGAGUGCUUAAUGCGUUAGCUGCAGCACAUAAGGGGCGGAAACCCCCUAACACUUAGCACUCAUCGUUUACGGCGUGGACUACCAGGGUAUCUAAUCCUGUUUGAUCCCCACGCUUUCGCACAUCAGCGUCAGUUACAGACCAGAAAGUCGCCUUCGCCACUGGUGUUCCUCCAUAUCUCUGCGCAUUUCACCGCUACACAUGGAAUUCCACUUUCCUCUUCUGCACUCAAGUUUUCCAGUUUCCAAUGACCCUCCACGGUUGAGCCGUGGGCUUUCACAUCAGACUUAAAAAACCGCCUACGCGCGCUUUACGCCCAAUAAUUCCGGAUAACGCUUGCCACCUACGUAUUACCGCGGCUGCUGGCACGUAGUUAGCCGUGGCUUUCUGAUUAGGUACCGUCAAGAUGCGCACAGUUACUUACACAUAUGUUCUUCCCUAAUAACAGAGGUUUACGAUCCGAAGACCUUCAUCACUCACGCGGCGUUGCUCCGUCAGGCUUUCGCCCAUUGCGGAAGAUUCCCUACUGCUGCCUCCCGUAGGAGUCUGGACCGUGUCUCA